rnacentral:rRNA from 1 species
CGUGCGGUUCUAUUUUGUUGGUUUUUGGAAUCGCCGUAAUGAUUAAUAGGGACAGUCGGGGGCAUUAGUACCCACAUGCUAGAGGUGAAAUUCUUGGAUUUUGUGAAGACUAACUUCUGCGAAAGCAUUUGCCAAGGAUGUUUUCAUUAAUCAAGAACGAAAGUUAGGGGAUCGAAGACGAUCAGAUACCGUCGUAGUCUUAACCAUAAACUGUGCCGACUAGGGAUCAGGCAAGGAUAUUUUGACUUGUUUGGCACCUUAUGAGAAAUCAAAGUUUUUGGGUUCCGGGGGGAGUAUGGUCGCGAGGCUGAAACUUAAAGGAAUUGACGGAAGGGCACCACCAGGAGUGGAGCCUGCGGCUUAAUUUGACUCAACACGG